UUGUUCCUGUGAGGUGAACUGUACACAGCUUCCUACAGCAGAAACACUGAGCUGAUCAACCUGAAAGUGAGCGUUCGGUGGUUAUUUGGAAAGGUAGCUCUUGCUAUUCGUUCCCGUGCAGCUUCCUAUAGCAGAAACACAGAGCUUAUCAUUUUUAACCUAUCAACCUGCAAGUGAGCCUUGGUUGUUAUUUAGAAGGCAGUCCCUAUUUUUCUUCUAGCAAACUCUUGCUAUUUGUUCCCAUGUGGUGGUGUGCAGCUUCAAAGUGCAGAAAAAUAGCAGUCAUCAACCUCCUACUACAGUCCUGUUAUUAGGAAAGGCAGCAUGGCUUUCAGAAUCUCUGAAUCGAAAAAAGAACACAGAAAAAGAAAAGUUACAGAGGAAGGAAGAGUGUUUAAAGAAAAUUGGACAGAAGAGUACUUUUUUGUUGAGGCAAACAGUAAAGCACUCUGCUUAAUUUGUGGUGAAUAUGUACAAGUUUUCAAAGACUAUAAUUUAAAAAGGCAUUAUAUGCAAAAACAUGCUGCAAAAUUCUCUGUGUAUCAAGGAAUGUGUCGUAAGGACAAAGCAAUGGAACUUAAGAAAAGUCUGUCUUCUCAACAAAAUUUAUUUAAAAAAGUUAUUACUCAGACAGAAUCUAUUGUAAAAGCUAGUUAUGUGGUAACAUAUUUAAUAGCAAAAAAAUCAAAACCAUUUACUGAUGGUGAGUUUAUUAAGCAAUGUAUGGAAAGUGUGGCAGACAUAAUUUGCCCUGAAAAAAAAGGGGAUAUUUCUAAAAUAAGUUUGUCACACCAGACUAUAGCCAGGCGAACAGAAGACAUUGGAAAAUCUGUUGAAAGAUGUUUGAAGAGUAAAGCUGCUAAAUUUAAAUAUUAUGCUUUGGCAGUGGAUGAAAGCACUGAUGCUACAGAUACGGCUCAA